rnacentral:rRNA from 1 species
UACGUAGGGAGCAAGCGUUGUCCGGAAUUACUGGGCGUAAAGGGAACGUAGGCGGUUCUUCAAGUCAGGGGUGAAAUCCCGGGGCUCAACUCCGGAAUUGCCUUUGAAACUGUAGGACUAGAGUGUGGGAGAGGAAGAUGGAAUUCCAAGUGUAGCGGUGGAAUGCGUAGAUAUUUGGAAGAACAUCAGAGGCGAAGGCGAUCUUCUGGAACACAACUGACGCUUAGGUUCGAAAGCGUGGGGAGCAAAC